rnacentral:rRNA from 1 species
GACGAACGCUGGCGGCGUGCUUAACACAUGCAAGUCGAACGGUGAAGCGCCUUCCUUUUUGGUGGGUGUGGAUGAGUGGCGAACGGGUGAGUAACACGUGAGUAACCUGCCCCCUUCUUCUGGAUAACCGCAUGAAAGUGUGGCUAAUACGGGAUAUUCUGGGUCUGUCGCAUGAUGGGUCUGGGAAAGAUAUUGUUUCGGUGGGGGAUGGGCUCGCGGCCUAUCAGCUUGUUGGUGGGGUGAUGGCCUACCAAGGCGGUGACGGGUAGCCGGCCUGGGAGGGUGGACGGGCACACUGGGCCUGAGCCACGGCACGGACUCCUACGGGAGGCAGCAGUGGGGUAUAUUGCACAAUGGGCGAAAGCCUGAUGCAGCGACGCCGCGUGAGGGAUGGAGGCCUUCGGGUUGUGACCCUCUUUCGCCAGUGAAGCAGGCCUGCCUCGUUUGUGGGUGGGUUGACGGUAGCUGGAUAAGAAGCGCCGGCUAACUACGUG